UCAGUCAUCCUGAGACUAAACUGACUUUUUGUUAGAGAAUUAUUUACUAAACAAGAGGACAGCUGCUGUGUUCCCACACGCAGACCUGGCUUCCCAGAGCUGCCCUACAUCUCUUUGCUUCUUCAGCCUCCCCUCGUAUCUCUCUGCAGGGCUUGCCAAAAGAGCAGCCUGCCCAAAAUAAUGAUAAGAAAACGUAGCUGCAGCCUGUGAAAAUGUUAUCUAGUAGCACACUUCCAACUGGAUCAUGCUAAAAGUCAAAGUGAACAAGACCUUUCCCAGAAGACCAUUUAAAUUAAUGAAAGGUCCUCACUGGAGCAGAUAUCAGCACUUCGAAAUCUCUUGUCCUCUUCUUUUGUACUUGUUACUUGCACUCUUUGGCCUCUCUUCAGGAACAUGAUCAUGAUGCCACAGGAAGGUUACAAGGAGCUUUGCCCAGCAAGCUACCACUGAGCAAAUACUGAGCAUGGACAGUAUAUCCAAGGUGCUUUUAAAAUUUAGGAUGGUGAGCACCAUUAAAAUAUCAUAAUACCAAUUUCUCACAUACUACUAUAUUUUUAAGAUCACAUUCUGUUUUGUGGGUUUUUUUUUUUUCUCCUUAUUAAUGGCAAAAAUUCAGGGGAAGCACAUUCAUUGCCAAAAGCAUGAGGAACAAACCCACCAGGUUACCUCAGGGGCUGACAAAUGACAUGUUAUAUGUAUGCUAAGUCUUACUGUAGAAUACUGUCAUGGGAUCUUGUGCUGGGAUAUCAAUCACUGGGGUUUGUGUCACUCUCAAGAGCAAGGUUACAAUGAGGGAUUAGCUUAUUGACUGCUUCCAAGGAAAUAUUUCUUUUCAAGUUGAUAUUUAACCUUAUAUCCUUUAAUCUACUGAAUAGUGCACUUGUUGGAAAAUAACACUUUGGGAAUGACUGACCAGUGAAGCAUCCUGAUAUUGCUAGAGUUUGGGGUUUUGUUUUAUUAAUAUUUUUUUGUUUCUAGGAUACUGCCCCAGGAGCAUGGCAACUACUGUUAUAUGCAUUCUGUACCCGUCACCACCACUGUCUUCAUGCAUUUGAGGGUGCUUGGAAACAUGCACUUUGGAGACUGUUAGACAUAAAACUCCAGAGACGUGCUCCAAAUGCAACUCUAAAAAUGUCAGUGCCCUCAUGACGUGAGAAGAAAAACUCUGCUGAUGACCUGAAAUCUGUUCUGUGCAACAGGAUGCAGCUGGGAUGUGGAAGCACAAGGAUUCGUCACUGCCUCCAGACUCUACAUCAGUGUUGGGUGGGGGUUUCUCUAACUAUAUCAGGUAUAUUUGCUGUAAUCACUUUAGUGUAAUGGUAACCAAGAUCAGAACAACAUUUUUUUCUAGGCAUUCAUUCUGACAUUGAGUGAAAAUUGUUAAAAUUUAAGUCUGCUUCUUUCUGACCCAUUUCAGGAAUAGGAUGUCCUUCAGCUGCUCUGACACCACCACUCACCUCCCACAGCUAUAUCCCCCACUCUGCUGAAAUUAUCAAUCAUUUUGAAAGCUCUGAUUUUUCUCAAUUUUAAUAUUGGUAAUUUUGUCUAAACUGGGAUUCUAGUUACCCUGGAAUAGAGUGAGACCCAACUACAAUCUCACAUCGCGUUUUCAUUAGAAACUAGCUUGUUCAGGACUGUGAAGUCCUCAUGACCCUAAAGGAGGACAUACUAAAGGACUACAGUCUAGUUCAGAUGCAACCAUUGUCAUGUUCUUUUGAUUUUCUUUAAGGAAAUUGUCAUUUCUGACGAAGACAAAGCCCACUUUCCCAUUUGUAAUGGGUAAUUUUGCUGCGUUCUUGCAAUGUGAAAUAUGACUGACAACAGAAGUGCUGAACAGAAGGGAAGCAAAAUAAUUCCUCUAUACUUGAAGGUCUCAGCUGGAGUGCUAUGUCCAUCUUGGGGCAUCACUCUGCAAGAGAGCUAUGGACCAAUUGGAAGUGGUCCAGGUAAUGAGAGAGCUCAGAAACAUAGCCUGUGGGGAAAGCCUGAAAGAACUCUGGUUGUUUGGAAUAAUGACAGAACUAAGAGGAGACCAAUAGCAUAAAUUCAGCAAUGUAAGUGGUUGCUGCAAAAAAAAAAAAAAAAAGGAAGGAAAUAAACUCUUCUCUAUACUGAUUGUGGACAGGACAAGAAAAAUGGUCUAUAAUGGAGGACUGCAGAUGGAUAUAGUCUUGGCUUUCUGAUUAGGAAGAGUGACAAGCUCAAACUGUGGGAGACUAUCCAAGAAGUGGAUAAAAGGGGAAAUCCAGAGCUUGGAUUGUCCAUCAACAAUCCAAAUCCACACCUGUAAAAGAAACGUGUUCGAUCCGGAGCAGAGAAGGAGCCCAAAGCUGGAAGGAAUGAUGACAAUCAGGCCAGCUGUGGGGAGAAACAAAAUGUUUGUUUGGACAAUUUGCAUCUGUUGCUUUUCUUAACCGGAUAAGAGAGUACACUGUGUAAUAUACACACACCAGCCUCACUUACCGACAGAGAAUUAAAAUAUUUAUAUCACAGACAAACAAUGCCAAGGAACUCCUCUACAAAUGCAGUGAUUUAAUAAACACAGUACUGCAAUGUAGCAUUUAUCUUUAUUAU
ensembl:lncRNA